AUUGAACGCUGGCGGCAUGCCUUACACAUGCAAGUCGAGCGGCAGCGCGGACUUCGGUCUGGCGGCGAGUGGCGAACGGGUGAGUAAUACAUCGGAACGUACCCUGUUGUGGGGGAUAACUAGUCGAAAGAUUAGCUAAUACCGCAUACGACCUGAGGGUGAAAGUGGGGGACCGGAAACGGCCUCAUGCAGCAGGAGCGGCCGAUGUCUGAUUAGCUAGUUGGUGGGGUAAAGGCCCACCAAGGCGACGAUCAGUAGCUGGUCUGAGAGGACGAUCAGCCACACUGGGACUGAGACACGGCCCAGACUCCUACGGGAGGCAGCAGUGGGGAAUUUUGGACAAUGGGGGCAACCCUGAUCCAGCAAUGCCGCGUGUGUGAAGAAGGCCUUCGGGUUGUAAAGCACUUUUGUCCGGAAAGAAAUCGCGCUGGUUAAUACCUGGCGUGGAUGACGGCACCGGAAGAAUAAGCACCGGCUAACUACGUG
rnacentral:rRNA from 1 species